UCCCGGGUGGCUCAAUAGUAAAGAGUCUGCCUGCCAAGCAGGAGACACAGGUUCAAUCCCUGGUUUGGGAA
rnacentral:tRNA from 1 species